AAAUGCGAUAAGUAAUGUGAAUUGCAGAAUUCAGUUAAUCAUCGAAUCUUUGAACGCACCUUGCGCUCCUUGGUAUUCCUUGGAGCAUGCCUGUUUGAGUAUCAUGAAAUCUUCAAAGUAAAUCUUUUGUUAACUCAAUUGGUUUCUACUUUGGUAUUGGAGGUCUUUGCAGCUUCACACCUGCUCCUCUUUGUUCAUUAGCUGGAUCUCAGUGUUAUGCUUGGUUCCACUCGGCGUGAUAAGUUAUCUAUCGCUGAGGACACUGUAAAAGGUGGCCAAGGUAAAUGCAGAUGAACCGCUUCUAAUAGUCCAUUGACUUGGACAAUACUUUUAUGAUCUGAUCUCAAAUCAGGUAGGACUACCCGCUGAACUUAAGC
rnacentral:misc_RNA from 1 species